AAAAUGACGACACAACUCUUCUAUUACUGUUGGAUAUGGUCUCCCAGAUGAACUUGACUCACCAAAACAUUUCACAAACAUUAUUACAUUUCUUGCCACAGAUCAAGUGGGUGCCUAAUUAAUACCGACACCCAUGGUUAUAUUUCAAAGCUUCUUGCUAAACACUAUAUUUUUAUUAAUUUCGAUCAAUACUUUAACGUAUUGAUUUACAUCAAAUUAUGGAUAUGGACAGCUUUUCUUCUUCAAUCACUGAAGGUGGUGGGUCAGUGGGACCGUCAAGAUGAGGUGUUUGAUUGUGAAAUUGGCUACAAGAUAUGCUUUCUAUUUCGAAAGGACAUAGUCUUUCAGAAACCAGCCGUCAUCCGCUUGCUCUCACAGGACGCUCUGCUAGGGUUCUUCCCCAAGCCUUCUCGAACUAGCUCCGAACCAGCUCCUACUUCACCUCAUUAGUUCGUUCCUAGGGCUGCAAUGCUCGCGGUCGUGCUGCCAAGGUUCUGUUAACCCUUUUUCCAGGUGAGGCUAGGGCGAGAACUGAUAAUCUCGCCCAGGAGAGUCGGACUCGCCUAAGCGAGUCUGGCGGAGGCUCCCUAAGCCUUUUUCGCCAAAGGUCGCCUAGGUGGCCAGCCCAUUAUUUUUGAGCGAGCAAACAACACGCCCAGGCGAGAGGGGUCUCGCCUAAGCGAGAUCCCGCGUUGUUUCCUGUUCCUGUUUUGAGCCCUCGCCUAGGCGAAGAGGGGACUCGCCUGAGCGAGACCCUUCAGCCUGAGCGAAGGGUUGGGCGAGACAGUAUGUGGUUUGGUUGUUUGGUUGCCCUUGUAUGAUUGGUAAUUGUUUGGGUAUGCUGGCUAAGUUGAUAUAUAUAUGUAUAUAUAUAUAUAUAUAUGUAUAUAUAUAUAUAUAUAUAUAUAUAUAUAUAUAUAUAUAUAAUGGUUUGCCAUGUAUUUGUGACAAGAUUCAUGAAAUGUAUGAUGGAUAUCGUGGGAGCUUGGCAUGUGAAAUUAAUGAGUGAGUUGGAAUUUAUGAGACAUGGUAAUGUUAUGAGAUGAGGCCCUAUACUCAUGGGGUGGUAAUGAUCAGUGGUAUGGAUUCAACAUGUGGUACGAAUGAGGUAUUGCAUUUUUUGAGGUUGACAUGGAACUGUAAGCAUGAUUGGUAUUCUCUCAUUGUUGAUUUAUGAUUGUUGGGUCCAUGUCAGUGUGUAAUUCCUUGGAGCCUCUAGAUGAGACUUCUGGGGUUGCGCUUCAGUGGUCGGGACGUAAUUCCAUGGCCCCUACUAGUAGGUGUCUAUGGUGGUGCCCCAUCUGUAUAACUAGG